GGCACAAACUCGAAGUAUUGUAGUUUAGUAGGGUCAGAUGAUCCUUCUAAUCCACUCUAUUUCGAAUUUGGGCCC
rfam:Haemonchus contortus, ISE/inbred ISE, WGS project CAVP01000000 data, contig: Hcontortus_6469